UGGGAUCUGGUGUACGGUGCACGGCUGCUUUCGGUGGGGGGUAUAUCUUAAUAAGAACUUGCAGCAGCAGGCCGGGGUUCGACUCCCCGGGUUCCAU